rnacentral:rRNA from 1 species
GCCAUGGGCAGGUUGAAGGUUGGGUAACACUAACUGGAGGACCGAACCGACUAAUGUUGAAAAAUUAGCGGAUGACCUGUGGCUGGGGGUGAAAGGCCAAUCAAACCGGGAGAUAGCUGGUUCUCCCCGAAAGCUAUUUAGGUAGCGCCUCGUGAAUUCAUCUCCGGGGGUAGAGCACUGUUUCGGCUAGGGGGCCAUCCCGGCUUACCAACCCGAUGCAAACUGCGAAUACCGGAGAAUGUUAUCACGGGAGACACACGGCGGGUGCUAACGUCCGUCGUGAAGAGGGAAACAACCCAGACCGCCAGCUAAGGUCCCAAAGUCAUGGUUAAGUGGGAAACGAUGUGGGAAGGCCCAGACAGCCAGGAUGUUGGCUUAGAAGCAGCCAUCAUUUAAAGAAAGCGUAAUAGCUCACUGGUCGAGUCGGCCUGCGCGGAAGAUGUAACGGGGCUAAACCAU